rnacentral:rRNA from 1 species
UACGAGGGGGGCGAGCGUUGUUCGGAAUUAUUGGGCGUAAAGGGUGCGUAGGCGGUUUGGUAAGUCUUGUGUGAAAUCUCCAGGCUCAACUUGGAGUCUGCACGAGAAACUGCCGGGCUUGAGUAUGGGAGAGGUGAGUGGAAUUCCUGGUGUAGCGGUGAAAUGCGCAGAUAUCAGGAGGAACACCAAUUGCGAAGGCAGCUCGCUGGGACGUUACUGACGCUGAGACGCGAAAGCGUGGGGAGCAAACAGG